rnacentral:rRNA from 1 species
GAUGAACGCUGGCGGCGUGCCUAAUACAUGCAAGUCGAGCGAACAGAUGAGGAGCUUGCUCCCCUGACGUUAGCGGCGGACGGGUGAGUAACACGUGGAUAACCUACCUAUAAGACUGGGAUAACUUCGGGAAACCGGAGCUAAUACCGGAUAAUAUAUUGAACCGCAUGGUUCAAUAGUGAAAGACGGCUUUGCUGUCACUUAUAGAUGGAUCCGCGCCGCAUUAGCUAGUUGGUAAGGUAACGGCUUACCAAGGCAACGAUGCGUAGCCGACCUGAGAGGGUGAUCGGCCACACUGGAACUGAGACACGGUCCAGACUCCUACGGGAGGCAGCAGUGGGGAAUCUUCCGCAAUGGGCGAAAGCCUGACGGAGCAACGCCGCGUGAGUGAUGAAGGUCUUCGGAUCGUAAAACUCUGUUAUUAGGGAAGAACAAAUGUGUAAGUAACUAUGCACGUCUUGACGGUACCUAAACAGAAAGCCACGGCUAACUACGUG